rnacentral:antisense_RNA from 1 species
CUUGACCGAACCCAGCCACAGCGGGCGCCGCGGGUCGCGGCCCCGGCCGUAGGUGGCGAUCAGCGCCUGCGCCUC